rnacentral:snoRNA from 1 species
UUUCCCAUAUGACUACCACUUCAGAUCUUAAUAGUAGAUUGUAGUGGUUAUGCUUGUGGGAUAGAUCAGAAUUGCCAUGAUCUGAAGGAGGAGGGUUGUUUGUCCUCCUCCUUUAUGAAAUGGCUGUACAGAAAUUU